AGAGCGAACGCUGGCGGCAGGCCUAACACAUGCAAGUCGAGCGCGUGUAGCAAUACACGAGCGGCAGACGGGAGAGUAACACGUGGGAACGCGCCCUUCGGUUCGGAAUAACUCAGGGAAACUUGAGCUAAUACCGGAUACGCCCUUACGGGGAAAGAUUUAUUGCCGAAGGAACGGCCCGCGUCCGAUUAGCUAGUUGGUGAGGUAACGGCUCACCAAGGCGACGAUCGGUAGCUGGUCUGAGAGGAUGACCAGCCUCACUGGGACUGAGACACGGCCCAGACUCCUACGGGAGGCAGCAGUGGGGAAUAUUGGACAAUGGGCGCAAGCCUGAUCCAGCCAUGCCGCGUGGAUGAUGAGGCCUUAGGGUUGUAAAGUCUUUAACGGGGAAGAUAAUGACGGUACCCGUAGAAUAAGCCCCGGCUAACUUCGCGCCAGCAGCCGC
rnacentral:rRNA from 1 species